UACGUAGGGUGCAAGCGUUGUCCGGAAUUAUUGGGCGUAAAGAGCUCGUAGGCGGUUUGUCGCGUCGAAUGUGAAAACCCGGGGCUCAACCCCGGGCCUGCAUUCGAUACGGGCAGACUAGAGUUCGGUAGGGGAGUCUGGAAUUCCUGGUGUAGCGGUGAAAUGCGUAGAUAUCGAGAGGAACACCGGCGGCGAAGGCGGCCAUCUGGACGAGGACUGACGCUGAGAUGCGAAAGCGUGGGGAGCAAACAGG
rnacentral:rRNA from 1 species